CUGCAGCAACUGUAUCUACUCAUUUUUGUGUGGUUUUUAUUGUCCAGGUUUGUAGAACUGUUGAUCCAGCAAUAUUAAGAAGUUUGCAUCUCCGAUUCUUAAUGAAUUUCCGAAGUGCUUCACCUGGUCAGUAUAUAUUGCUCUUAAUUCUUUAAGUUAUAAUCAACAAAAAAUAUUAUACAUGCUACUACUAUCACUUGUUUUGCGAAACUGAAGUCGUCCUGUGGUUGUCACUCUAGAACAAGCUACAUCCCUCAAAGACAGAUUGUAACCGUCUUAGAAACUCCAGUUACGACAGUGGAAGGAGGGCUGUAUGAUUUGUUAUUACUGUACUAAUGUCCCAUAUCUCCAUGGUUGGGCCAGUGAAGAUUUAGACCCAUGGUAGCAGUUGAGUAUUGCUUGAUUCAUCCUCUCCGUGUGGAUACUGUAGUUUAAUAAGAACUGCUAUUCAGCUUUUGCUUAGCGAGAUUUGAAUUUUUUUCAAUACCAAUAUAUAUUUUCUUUGUUGCCUUGAUCUCUGAGGAAAAGCCUAAGAAGCAUUUACUUAGAUCCUUCAAUGUCAAUUAUUUAAUUGUUGCUGGUCCUAAUAUGCCACUCUUUGGUUUGAGACUUAGUUUCUCAGCUUUCAUGUACAUAGGAAUAUUGAUGCCUGACGCGAGUGAUAACCUUUAUGGAAAUUUGUUAUUACCUGAAAUUUCAUGUGUAAACUAAUCUUUUACUGAGGCAUAUUAAUCCACUUAAUGUAUACUUAAUUUUGAAGAUGCAUCCAGAAAUGUUAGACAAAUGGUGUGGUGUAUGUCUGCUAUCUUUAGAUUCUUACAACUUUUAUAUCAAUCUUUUUUAGGGUGUAUGUAGAUUUAUUAGGGCAUUCUUUUCUGAUGGCAUUAUGAUAUAUGCCGUGUACGCGUCGCCAAUGAUGCAAACAGCGGUGUCAUUCGUGUUUUCGCUGAGUCGGCAUCAGGCGACACACCUAGGCCUUAGGUGUCGAUGGCGACGAGGAGCAUGUGCUGGUCGCCGUCGCGACACUCGUGGUAAGCCAGCACCUGGUACACGUUUGGCCAGUAGCAAGGUAUAGGCCUCCUCCUUCCUCACUUCCUUCCGAUGUGUCCCUCUGCCCCUCCAGCCCUCCAUUUUAACGCACGGUCCUAAUCCCAUCUUAUCCAUCUCUCCAAUAUGGAUUGGAUGUAAGAAGUUAAGAGACCCUGAAAGAGAUGGUUGAUUUUUUCCACGUCAGGGUGAGUAGGGGUACUGCAAGGUUUGUGUAGAUUAUUACUCGAAUAGCUUAGUGUGAUUCAGCAAGUAUAUCUACAGUGGCCUGCAGUUGCACUGCUUGUGAUACAUGUAUUACAAGUUCGUAUUCAGUCCGAAUCUUUGGGGUGAGCAUGCUGAGUGGGAUUAUUAUUUUGAAAUCUUUUGGAAGCUGUUCUCAAAUUAGUUGCGUGCGGUGUUAAAUUAUGAUGUGUUUUUGAAAUUUAAUUGCUUUUUAUCUGGUGGUGCUUUUUAGGUGAGUGCUCAUGCCUAGGUUUGUGUGCUCUGCGACAUGAUUAUAUUGGGCUUGAAUUGUGAUGUAUACCAGAUCUCACUUGAAGCAUGUAUUCGUUGAUGCUGGCCAUAAGACUGCAGCUAUGUAUUUGCACAGUAUGUUACAGCUGCGGUGAAAUUUGAUUCAGAGUUGAGAUGAUGUGUUGCUGGAUUCUUAUACAUGAAGAAUCAAUCCUCUUCAAACGUUAUCAGUAUACUUCAUUCUUUCAAAGUUUUGCACUAUUGCAAAGGAUUAAGCCCCUUUAGUUUUAUAUUGUUCUUCUGGUUAGUUCACAAUGAUUUGCUCUAUUCUUUGUUCCGUGACUGUGAUGAUUGAAUGCAUGAGCCCAUGGUUGAUCUAUCCUACCAAUUUAGGGUAUGUCUCAAUGGUCUUUCUGUUCUUAGACUACCCCGUUCAUUGCUCAAUCAUGUGAACUGCGGAUGCACAGAUACACACUUUAUUCUAACAAAUCUGGUAAUUGGAAAACUUACAUAUUGCAUGUUUAUAGUGUUCAUUUCUGAAGAACUUAUAUAGUUUUUUGAACUUAUAUAGCUGAAUGAUAGAAAGUGCUGCCCGUUAUAUAGUGAAGUAAUUUGAUAGAAUGAUAUACAUGACCUAUGAACUUAUUCCUCGGAGUAGCUUCCCGUUAUUUAAUCUAAAUAUCUGAAUAUGCUUCUAAGUUCUAAGCUAGAUACUUGAUUUACUUAUUGCUGCCAUUUCCUUUCGACUGAAUUACCUUAACUAAUAUUUAUUGAUGAUUAGCAGUUAGCACAAAAUUUAUAUUUCAUAACUUCAAGAAAUAAGUACUUUGUAUGUAACCUGAUAUAACUAAUACUUAGUAUGUGCUAUGGGCAUUGUAGUUCAAUCAGAACAAGGCCUGCGAUAAGUGAUAGAAAAGCUGUCAGAAUGGUAUAUUUAUUUGAAAUAACAAUCCUAUUUGGAAUUUGCAAAUGCUUAGUUUGCUUUUUGAAUCAACCAAUGCAUCCAAAUUCCUGUGUAACCUGUGAUAGUUGGUGGAUUGACCUUGGCCUCUGUUUUAGCUCUGAUUAGUAUGCAUAUGAUUGCAGUUCUAGAGUGACAAUAUAUAUUAGUGUGCAUAAAUGAACUUAUUUCUAUGAUGCCAGGUGCCUCCCUAUGGUGUACAAGGUGGGAUUUGCAAGGCUAAGCUUUUCAUAAACGAGCAAAGAGAGACUUGUGAAGGCAGUGGUGUGGAAAGUGUAGAUAGAGCUUAUGACAAUCAUGAUGACACGAAAAAAGCCUGAGCACUGGAUUUUUCCAUGACAAGGCUCCUACCUUGUUGCAAGUGCUUUGGUGAUAUGCUCCGGCAUAUGACAACUUUUGCAUGCUUGGGUAACGCAAGUAUGACAAAUGCCCCUGUCAGUUAUUAUACUCUUCGAUGUACUUUCAGAUCCUUCAAUGUCGACUAAUGUUUCUGAUGUUCAUGAACAAAUUUGAAAGUGGAUGUGUGGUAGUACUGUAUUAUUGGUUUCAUUGUUGAUGUAAAGCUACGCCGAGUAGGCCCAUAAUGUACUGUGUGAUUAGAGAUGAUUUCUGAAGUUUUUUUUUUGUUAUUUUGUAAAUAGAUUUAAUUAGCCUCUUGUGUAUCAAAGAAACAGAAGAAACAAUGAAGUUCUUGAUGCAUUUGAUAGGGCAAUGU